rnacentral:rRNA from 1 species
UACGUAGGGUGCAAGCGUUGUCCGGAAUUAUUGGGCGUAAAGAGCUCGUAGGCGGUCUGUCGCGUCGGCUGUGAAAACUUGGGGCUCAACCCCAAGCCUGCAGUCGAUACGGGCAGACUAGAGUCCGGCAGGGGAGACUGGAAUUCCUGGUGUAGCGGUGAAAUGCACAGAUAUCAGGAGGAACACCGGUGGCGAAGGCGGGUCUCUGGGCCGGAACUGACGCUGAGGAGCGAAAGCGUGGGGAGCGAACAGG